rnacentral:snoRNA from 1 species
UUAUCAUGUAGGAUACUCCUUAUCUGCCCCCGCCCCCCAGAAGGCAAAUUAGAAUAUGGUGAUUGGAAUUCACAUGAUACCUGAUUAAUGUCUCUGCAAAAAUCAGGUCUCAUAACACCCUGAUUGCUCCUAUCUGAU